UGCUCGGACUUCCCGAAUCUCCCUGGUGCACACUGAUAGAUGGGCCCUUUGUUCUUGGAGGUGGUCUCUUCCAGAUUCAGGGUCCCCUUCCUCACCGAUAAGGAUAACCCACAAAAAGCAUCUGAAAGAGGAGCUGAUGCUCCACUGAUAGGGAAGCUGUGAAAUUCUGUUAUUUCUUCCCAUUUGGUUCCAAAUAUACAACCCAACAGAGUCGUUAGGAUCUCUUCAAUCUCAACUGGGGAUGGCUCCAACGAGGCACGGUCCCUCAGAAAAGUGCUUGUAUAAUCCAGAAGGGCGGACAGGACCGGAGACAAGAGGAGUUCUGUCCCUGGAUGUGGAGAAGAAAGAUGCUCCUAAGAUUUUGUCAUCCCGGAUCUAAACUUGUGGACAUUCUUUUGUGAGAAGCUGUGGCCACAAAGGACAGUAGCAGAAUCUGCCUUCAAUCUAACUUGGUUCUCUGGGGCCAUGACUGUAUCUACACAUGGAAGCUUUGCAUCUACACGGUAACCAAAGCCACCCCCUCAUCUACCCCAGUGGUGGUGAAAUAUAUGUGCAAGGAAGACUCUGCCUUCACCUGAACUUUGUGUCUUUUGAGGUUUGGAUUAGAUCCUGAUAGAAAAAAAUUGUUCUCAAAUCAGAGCAUAUCAGGAAAGAUUAUUAUAAGGGAACAGAAAUGCAUUUGGAGAGAUGAGAACUUAGGGUGGACUGAGGUUGAAAUUGUUGACUCAGUGAACAAGAGAGAUAAAAUAUGAAGCCAGCCUGGUUGAUGUGACUCUGCAGUUGAGCGAUGACCCAUGAACCAAGAGGUUGCUGAUUCGAUUCCUGGGCAUAUGCCUGGGUUGUGGGCUCC